rnacentral:snRNA from 1 species
GAACCAGUAGUAGCACUGGUUGAAUCCACCCCUGGCUGGCUAGGCAGGAAUCCCCCUCUUCCCUCGCCACUCCAUGUGCAUCCCUCCCGAAGCUAACACACUCAGUGAAAUGGAACAGUCAACCCAGAUAAUAGCGUACCAAUCUUUUGUCAAGGGUAAAGAAUUGCUAUGUAAUCCUGCUAGAGACUCCAAACGAUAAAAGUUAUAUAUUUACCCAGGAAUUGGCAACAUAACAACUAUUCCCGCACAAGGAUAAGCUUGAUAUGUGAAUUUUACAGGUAGUCCUU